rnacentral:ncRNA from 1 species
UGUCAGCUGAGGCGCUCACGCCGCAUCCGGCAAUCAACGUCUGAUGCGACGCUUGCGCGUCUUAUCAGACC